AGUUAAUAACAAAUGCCACAUAAGUACAUCAGUGUAACUGAAAAUAUUAUAUGACCCAAAGGUGCACCAUUUCAAGAUUCUACAGCAAGCAAUUACUAUAAAAGCUAAGGUAUUAAUCUAUCGCUAAAUUGGAAUCACUACAUUCCUCAGCGAGACAAAUCAGGUAUGAAUACAUCUGCCUCAACUAUGCCCAGUCAAGUUGGAUCCACCACGUGAAUAUAUUUCCCACCUUGACUACAGCUAUAUUUUCUAUGAAAUGUUAAGGUAAUAGUUGAACCCACGUCAGUAGCAUUAAUUGCAAUAGGAACCAUCUUUUGUCACCAGCAAAUUUAACAUUUUACAGCACAACAAAGGAAUAUAGCCUACACUUGUUUAUUUCGAAGCGACAAGUUUUUAAAAUUAUUUCUGAUAAUUUUAUCCUUCCAUUUCCUAUAAUUUUGAUUCCAAUAAAAGACCAUCACAAAAGUGUCAACACUGCCAGAUACUGAUAAAAUAUGGAAACAAGUUUACUUUAGUACAUUUAGAGUUCUAUUAUUAUUUUUAUAGAAUUUUAGGACUUUGUUAUUAUUUUUAUUAAAAGGUAAUAUUUUAUCAGGAUUUUAAUGUCCUACUUGCUUUAGGACAAUCGGUUUCUUUGCUUCUACUGUCAUACAUCAGUUAUUCUGUAAUUUGUUCACAUUUCAUCUCGUUCAAAGUCGAACUUUCAAUAGCUGCAGUUAACCCAGAUAAGUUCAACAUAAAAUCACUCUAGCCAUCAAGACUGAAAAGAAAAGGAGUGAUGAAUCGCUAAACACAAUCCUUGGUUUCACAUCAGGUGUCUGUAUGAGUUGAUGAAUAGGGAAGAACAGAUGCUUCAAAAUGCCUCAUGUAUCGCAACUAGUAUUCAAUACUAUACUUGUUCCGGUACUCCCCAAUUCAUGUCAGAUACUUGCCAAAUCUAAAAUCAAUGAACACUAAAUAUCACGGUAAAUUACAUUAAUCACCUUUUGGUUUGAGUGUGGUAACACUUUGCACUCUAAUUUCUCAUAUAUUACAUUUUACUCCUUCAUCAAACAAUGUUUGUGGUUCUGUUUGUGGAAAUCUAAAAAGAAAAAAGCAGCCUGAUACAAAAAAAAAAAAAAAUUCACAUGUUGCAGCAAAGCAUUUCACCCAAAAAUUUCCCGACACAAUCUCCCUCUCUGAACCAUCUUGUUUCUCUCUUCAAUAUCAGAGAAGCAAACAAGCCUAAACCUAGCCCAAAUUAAAUGAGAAUCUGAGUAAAAUUGAAACCAAAAUUAUCAAUCAAAUGUGUAGAAGAUCCUUUCGAAGAUUUGACUGCGAUUGAAAUCAGAAAAAGAGCAGAAAAAAAUUGGUGAGAGGAUGCCUAGCCCUAAUCAAAAAAAUUUCUUUGAAAAUCCGAAUGACAUUACAAUUACUUGUGUUUAAUCUCGUGUAUUUUGAAUUUAGGACAAACCCCAUAUUAUUUUUUGUUGUUAUAGUUUUUCAAAUCCCUAAGAGAAACCUUAAUUUUAAUGUCACCCCUAGUUUGAAUGAAAAUUCUCCUCCAUCUCGAUGGUUUCUAUUUCACAAAUCAACAAAGGUUUUCAAGUUUUCUAGUGCCAAGUUUGAGCUCUAGAAUUGAAAUAAGGAAUCCUAAGAGGUAAAUUUGACAGAUAUGGUCAUAUAAUAUCUACUAGAAGCAGUUUCAAUUCAUUGUAUUUAAUUUCCAUGUAUCAUUCAUACUUCAGUCCUCCGUAGCUCAUUCAAGCAUCUUCAUGACUUGCAUGAAACAUUGCUCCUUUGUUUUCUUGUGCAAAUGUAUUGGGAGUUUCUACCAAUUCAAUGUUUUUAUGAAGACAACAGGAAUGGGAUUCAACCAUUCUUCUUAUGAUGCAAAAGUUCUUACAUGUAAACGGAGGACUCAAGGUAUGUUCAAUUGUUCAUGGGUGUGCUUUAGUUCUAGGAAAUUUAGUUUCAAUGAAAAGAUUAUUUUCAGUGCCGCUAAUCAUCAAUUCUAUUAAAAAUAAUUGAGGUUUUUCUUUUUAUGUGCUUGCUUGUGUGAUAAAAGGCAGAACAGUUUUUUUGAAUAAAUGCAGAGAAUAGUCAAGAAGAAUGUGACACAGAACAGCUAAAAAUGGUAUUGUGCUUCAUGGAUUGCUUGUUGGCUGUUGGUUGCAAAAAGGGGAGGAAUUGAAGAGAGCAGAUUACAAAGAGUUAAGCAAGUUUACUGAUUUACAAGCAAUGUGAAAUAGUAAAAAAAA